UGGGGAAUCUUGCGCAAUGGGCGAAAGCCUGACGCAGCGACGCCGCGUGGGGGAUGAAGCAUUUCGGUGUGUAAACCCCUUUCGACUGGGACGAAUGCCUCGCAAGAGGAGUGACGGUACCAGUAGAAGAAGCCCCGGCUAACUACGUGCCAGCAGCCGCGGUAAGACGUAGGGGGCCAGCGUUGUUCGGAAUUACUGGGUGUAAAGGGUUCGCAGGCGGUGUGGCAAGUCGGGAGUGAAAUCUAUGGGCUUAACUCAUAGGCUGCUUCCGAAACUGCUGUGCUUGAGUGUGGGAGAGGCGCGUGGAAUUGCAGGUGUAGCGGUGAAAUGCGUAGAUAUCUGCAGGAACACCCGUGGCGAAAGCGGCGCGCUGGACCACAACUGACGCUGAGGAACGAAAGCUAGGGGAGCAAACAGGAUUAGAUACCCUGGUAGUCCUAGCCCUAAACGAUCAGGACUUGGGGUGCCACCCGUUCGGGUGUCGUCCCGGAGCUAACGCGUUAAGUCCUGCACCUGGGGAGUACGGUCGCAAGACUG
rnacentral:rRNA from 1 species